GACGAACGCUGGCGGCGUGCCUAACACAUGCAAGUCGAGCGAUGAAAUCCCUUCGGGGAUGGAUUAGCGGCGGACGGGUGAGUAACACGUGGGUAACCUGCCUCAAAGUGGGGGAUAGCCUUCCGAAAGGAAGAUUAAUACCGCAUAAUAUUAGAUUUUCGCAUGAAGAGCUAAUUAAAGAAGCAAUUCGCUUUGAGAUGGACCCGCGGCGCAUUAGCUAGUUGGUGAGGUAAUGGCUCACCAAGGCGACGAUGCGUAGCCGACCUGAGAGGGUGAUCGGCCACAUUGGAACUGAGACACGGUCCAGACUCCUACGGGAGGCAGCAGUGGGGAAUAUUGCACAAUGGGGGAAACCCUGAUGCAGCAACGCCGCGUGAGUGAUGAAGGUCUUCGGAUUGUAAAGCUCUGUCUUUUGGGACGAUAAUGACGGUACCAAAGGAGGAAGCCACGGCUAACUACGUGCCAGCCGCCGCAGUAAAAC
rnacentral:rRNA from 1 species